rnacentral:rRNA from 1 species
UACGUAGGGUGCAAGCGUUGUCCGGAAUUAUUGGGCGUAAAGAGCUCGUAGGCGGUUUGUCGCGUCGAAUGUGAAAACCCGGGGCUCAACCCCGGGCCUGCAUUCGAUACGGGCAGACUAGAGUUCGGUAGGGGAGUCUGGAAUUCCUGGUGUAGCGGUGAAAUGCGCAGAUAUCAGGAGGAACACCGGUGGCGAAGGCGGGACUCUGGGCCGAUACUGACGCUGAGGAGCGAAGCGUGGGAGCGAACAGG